UACUUUGUUUCAAUAAGAAAGGCAACAAUUUCUAGAAUUAUAAAAUGGGAAUAGAAGAUAUAAAGCCAAAUAAAUAAAUGAAUGACAAGAUUAAAUAAAACCAAAUAAAUGAAUGACAAGAUUUAGAUCAAGUCGAGAAUCUCAGUUUUUAAGACAUUAUUCACCUCAUACAUGUGUUGAACGGUUUAUAAAUAGUGAUUGUCACAAUCUCAAGAUACAACGAUCUACCUUCUUAGUGUAGCAACACUUUAAAACACAUAGAAGAUGGCGAACUAAUUAUUUAUUAACUCUCUCAUAACAAGACAUAGACACUUGAAAACCAAAAUAAUAAUCCAUCAAGAAAAACCAACACAAAACAUACUUAUAUAGUGUGACCCAAUACAAUGUACACAUCUAUUGAAAACACACCUAUUGGGAAAAGUAUGUAUCUCCAUUGGAAUAAGUUAGCCCAAUACAAUGGUUACAAAAUACAUACUCAUUCAUUUAGUUUACCACAAGUGGAUAACUUAGGACUGUAAUUUCGCAUUCAACAUUUCCAACAGUAACUUCAAGCACAUUGCAAAUAAUUAAUGGCUGUUUUUACUCUAAUUUAUCUUUUUGUUAGAAUCUUGUUUGUUUGAUGUUGGGGCUUUAAGUCGUUCUUAUUAAAAUGAACACUAGUAUACAUAAGAUUUUCAACAACAAUUCUAUGCAAAACAGAUUAUAAUAUCUAAAAAGAAAAAUAGAGAGAAUGGGAAGUUACAAACUUAUGAUGUUCACCCCAAUGUUAUAUUUCACUCCUAACGUUCUUGGCAGUUCAACAACAGUACAAUGUAUGCACAAUCUAGCCAUAAAUGAUGUUUUGGAUGUGUGUAGUUGCUAUAUUCAGACAAUAAAAUCAGUAGACAAACUGAAGCUCUCUUUAGUAUACACAUAGGGUACUUCGUUUCAAUAAAAAAAAAUAAUGGUGUGCAGUUCUACUUGAGGAAGAUUAAAAGCUAUCCCUGUUAUUCAGGAUAUGUGUAGUUGUCAUCCGAAUGAUCAAUAGAAAAACUUUUACUUUAUCAGAAUGCCUAAAGCAUAACCAUCGGCUCCCAACUCAUGACCAUUGGCUCUCAGCUCUAUCCUGAUUUAACUUCAAGCACAUAAUCAAUGAAUAUAGGGACAACCUUCUUCUUUUUGAGUUGGAUCUUAUUCGCCAUUGGGACUACAAUCGUACAAAUUCCCUGUAAUACCAUAUAAAUCUAAUUAAUUCUUCUUAAUUAUAUACCAUCAUCAUCAUCUAUUAACAAAAUAGAAACGAAAAAAAAAAAAAAAAAAUUGUAAUAAACAAAAGGUAAAAAAAGUUUUGAGUAUUUAAGGAGCAUCCAACAACCUGAGGAUAUCCUAUAGAAAUUAAUAAAAGGAGAAGUGCACAGUUAUUUUAUGAAAAACUAUGGAAAUGUGAUUGAACACAUUAGCAUGUAGGAUACUCUUCCAAAUGCACAACCACUAUCUGCCCAUAGAUUUGGUUCUUAAUGAAGGACAACAAGUGAAUUUUGUUAUCAAUGGAAAACACCUCUUUGAGCAACUACAGAUUUCAGUAUAGUGUGUAGUUAGCAUCACGGUGUUCAUGUGUGUGGGUAUCAAUGUAUCAUCAACUAUGAACAAAACACAAAUGAAAAUGAAAAUGAUUCUGUAAUGUAAUUGAACUUACCCUUAUGAUAAUCUGGUAAAUCGAUGAUCCUAUGUAAUUUCGAAUUCAUCCCCGAAUUAGCUUUCUCUUUCUUUUUUAAUGGAAUAAACAAAAAAAUACUACUAGUUCUUUCAUCCAUCUUGUUCGGCGCAGCAGCAACUCCUAAAGUAAUUUAGGGCAAACAAGAGUGUUGAAUUUAUAACCGUAGAAGUUGGACCU
rnacentral:lncRNA from 1 species